AACGCGUUGAACCGUCGAUCCCCUGCUCAUUUCCUAUUUUCGCUCUCUCUCUCGUUUCUCCUCCCUGAGUGGCGGCUAGGGUUACCGCGGCCGCCGCCCCACCCCUGCUCAUGGCCUCGGUUGAUUUAGCGCCACCGCCACCCCUUUUCUCUUGUCCACGUUCUCUAUCCUUGCAAGAAACCUCUCCUCUCCUCAUCUCUCCUCCGCGUCUUCCUCCGGGGAGCCUUGCGGCUGCAGCAGGAGGGGAGACGAGGAGGCCGGGCCAGCCGAUUUCCUCGCCGGAUCUGGAGCGCAGGGGCGACGCUGGCGAGUAACCGAUCAUGGAGGAGCAUUGGUCGCCGGUGAAGAAAAUAUGGGAGGGAGACGAGAGGAGCACUGAUCAGGGGGAGUCAUCAGGGAUGGUCGAUGCCAAGGUCAGCUUUACCAAUCAUUCUCCCCCAUCUUUGCAGCAAGACUCAUUGGGUUCCUUCGAUCUAAGCCGGUUUAUGUCGUUUUGCUUCAUAUAAUCAUGGUGGAACUAGGCUAUAUUUCUUACAGUGAAGCGAGGGUGACUAAAAAAAUUUGGUGUACGUCAAUCAUUAGCUUGAAUUUUUACCUGCAGCUGAUCUUAUUCUGGUGAGAAUUUGAUGACAGGGAGAAUUAUUAUUAUUGUUGUUGGUCAAGGUAACUGCGAUGCACAUGAUGCAAGAAUUAUAUUUGUGCAGAGGUAGCUACAACUAUGCAAAUCAGUUUGAUGCCCUCUGUUACUCUCUUAUUUUUUGUUGAACUAACCAAUACCAGAACACAACUCUAUCCUACAUGAACUCAUGUGUUCUUAUGCAGCCAUUUUCUGUUGUAGGAGGAGCAAUACUCAGAGUGUGAGAGUUAAGUGAGAAUCUGUUGAAACUAAGGUCACAACAGAUCAGGUACUUCAUUUUUGUUUCAACUUAUACUGCUCUCUAAUGUUAUAUCUGCAGACUGCAGGACCUCCAAACUAAAAAUAAAAUUGAAUUUUCUUGGCAGAUUCAGUUGUCUAGAAACUAAUUUGUGGUGUAGUUUGAAAAAAGGCAAAAGACUCGGAUAUAGUCAUAGAACUACAACAUAAAGUUUGAGGAGUGUCCCCAAUCCCAUCAUCUUUCUCUUAGUUUUUACUACAUGAUUCUCUGUGAUGAUUUUAUUCUAAUUUCUCAAUUUAUGUUUUUUCUAAACACAACGCCUGCGGGUUUGAUAAAGAAGAGGAAGAAUUUUGAGGAAGAACUUUGUGAAAAUACAGUCACUUUCUUGCAUUUUGACGUGUUUUGCCAAUUUCUGUAUAUUGCUUAUAUGGUUGCACCCAAGGCUUGGUUCAUGGUUGCUGAUGCAUUUUCUAUAGAAAUGCGAUGUUUUUGUUCAUAGUAUGAACAGAAGUUGAACAGUCGAAAACCUAUGUGAAAGCAGCGGCGAAAAGUAUGCUUGAGGAAGAGGUAUGGAACCAGCGUGCCCUUUGGUCAAAGAAUUUUUGUAAGAUUCCAAUCCAUGCGGAAUUCUCGAAACCAUUUAGUUCAAAGGGAUGAAUUCCCCAAAAUUGUGUGGAUUGUUUUCCUACACUAUGUGCUUCUUUGGUUCAAAGGAAUUUUUAAGCAAUUUGUAGGAUUCCAACCUAUAGACGUUUUUUCUAGAGUACUUUUGAUUCAGAGGAGUAACCACUCCUAAAUUCCUCUUGACUGUUCGCCAACACCACGAUUCAAUAGAAUUUCUAGCAUGUUUUGGUGUCAUAACUCGAUAGAAAGUUUGUGUUUUUCCUGGUUCAUGUACGAUUCCAAAUGUCAGGAUAUAUAUUACUCUAUUUUUCAUGUUCCUAUGUGUUCAUCAGAUCCUGCGAAGUGAAGAAGGUUCUGCAACUCCAUUAGAUUGAUUGAAAAUUCCCUUAUAUCUUGAGAAGCAUGACAUGCACUUGACAUCUAUAUAAAGUUUCUUAUGGCCACAUGAUGCCUGGAUACUUACCUAAAAUACAUCAUUAGUCCAUCAAAACCCAUUUAUUGAUCCAGUAUGAUUGCUUAGAUCCAGACGGGUCUACCUUACUGAUAGCUUAAUACUAUCUAGAGCAUAUUCUUUUUCCCUUUGUUUAAUUGAAUAGCAUAAUACUAUGGUUAUUAAGAAACUUGAACAUGUGAUAUUGUAGAUCUCUAUCUUCCAUGUUCCCACCCUGAUGUUCUUUAGAUAUUCUUCCAUUUACAGCAAUCUAAUUCUUGGGUGAUAAUUUUGACAAUCAUUAAACCUUUCAGGUCUGCCUAUCUGUUGAUGGUGAUAGAAAAGGUAAUGAUGCAGCAAAAAUGCAUUACGAUUCUAAAGCUGUCAGGGCUCAGGAGAUGAGUGUCUGAUGGUACUAUUGAUCAACAUUCAGAUUUGGCAGUUGGAUAAAGAAGCUUCGUUCACAAUAUAAAGGCUGACAAGAAAACUACAGAACGAGUAAAGAUUUGCGACUUGGAAGCGAUGGGAUCAAAUGGUUUGUCUUAAGAGAACAAUACUAUCUAUUUCUUAUUUAUUGUACGUCAAAUGAAGGACUUGCAGAUGCAGAAUAUUAGCACAAAGAAAAAUCUAUAUGGUUUUAAGGGUUUGGAUUCAUCGGUAUGUUGUGUGUUUCUUCACCUGCUCUGGAUAUGAUUGCACAAUAUUUCAGAAAUCGUCCAUGGAUAUGCAUUGUUAGGUGACAAGUUUUUGCGGGUGGUACGGUUCCCAUCUGUCUCUGAUGAAAUAUUCACUUACCAUACUAGUUCGAUCUCAACAUUCCACCCAUUUUUCACAUCUCUAUCAUCGCUUGGAUUUUGUCUCUAACAUUGUUGCUUUCCGGUGGCGAGGGAGCCCUUCACUGAGCCGGUGGAGGUGUCCUUGUCGUAGGCAGGGUAAUGGAUCACUGAGUGCGAGCUGCUGUGUUGGUUCGUCAGAGAGGCGAGUCUCAUCUACUUCAAAUUCUGGGGCAUUCUACUGCCGAUUGCAGUGGACACUAGCAAUUAAUAUAUAGUUGAGUUGUUCGAUUGGUUGUUGGUUGGCCGAUUGGGAUGGUGUUUACUUACCUAUAAUCUGAGCUAUAAGGGUGAACAAGUGUCCAAGUAGAUGAAUUUUCAGCAGUUCUAUGAGGUACAGACCGUACUACUGAAAUAACAAGACAUUUGAAGGGAGUAGUACAUCAGAUUCGUUUAUGGUCCUCUUGCCACCUUAAUAGUGUAUUUCUGACUACAUUAUGUUAUCAAUAGGUUGUAUAGCUUCCAAAUACCGUAGAAAUCAAAGAGUUUGAACUGUUUUAACUGAGAUUAUGUCAAUAUUGUUAGUCUUUA